GUGCCUUUCGAGUGAAUGUUAGAGUAGCCCGUCCAUGACUGUGUUUGUAAGUGACAGAGACGGGGGCUGCGUUUCAGACAUACCCUCCUCCACUUACCCUCGCCUUAUGCCCGUGGGGGAAUCCUCGCAACCAUCUUUGUCGUUGGUCCAAAUGAUUAGCCAAGCAAGGGAACGUGUGGCAACGUGAGACCCUCAGCCCUCGUUUUUUGAUUGAGUUUGCGAGUGUACAGUUAUGUUCACUCCGGUCAGCUAAAACUUUAAACCAACAUUAAUAUGGGGAAGUCAACAUACAAGUCUUUUGUAAAACUCAGGUUAUCUGGAGUCGUUCGACAGUGCCCUGCUGAGAAAUACCCUGAAGCGGGGGCAUUUUGGGUACACAAGCACGAGGGAGCGGACACACCUUGCGUUUAUGGAGCACAACAAGAUGUGGGACAGAAACCAUCCAGGGAUACUGAACGGAGACGUGCAGUAUCAGCAAAUCUUCUGCAAGAGGACCAAACAGUUGGUGGUUAAGAAGCCCUACAUCACUUUUGACAGCCUUAUCCAGCUGGCCAUUCACCGCACACAGGACAAGCCCAUCGCCAUAAGCACAACGAGUCUCAGCUUCCCCAGCCCAUCAUUGCCAGUGUAACGAAGCCGGAUAAAGGACUACGGCUGCGUUUACGCAGGCAGCCCAAUUCAGACCUGAUUGGUCUUUUGACCAAUCAGAUCAGUUCUGAAAAAGAGCUGAUGUGAUUAAGACCAAUUAGUGGAAAAAAGAUCAGAAUUGGGUUGUCUGUGUAAAACACAGCUAAUUAUUAGAAUCGGGAUGUGCUACAUUAUGGUUGGAGGGAAAAGCUACAGGACAGUAGCUCUCCAGGAACAGGGUUAGAGAGCCCUUAUGUAGAACCAGCAUAAAAUAAAUGUGGAUCUUUUCUGUCAAUCUUCUAAAUGUUUCUGCCCUCAUGGAUUCACAAUAUGUAUUUAUCGAAGCUGUACAUGGCUCUGUAGCAUAAAAAAAUGCUAGACAUUCAGAUAUCAAAUCAUGUUUAUUUGUCAACAUUAAAAUACAGGAGAAUGUACACUAACUCAAGAGAACUGGGUAUUCAACAACGUUAUGGUAAAAGUAACAUUCAAAUAUAUAUAGUAUGAACAGCAUAGUACAGUUCAGUGUGUCUCAGGUGUAGGGACACAAGUGCUGAGAACUGUAGUUACACCAGAUAAUGUGAGUUCCCCAAUAUUUUAGCAGACAUCUUGGCUAUUUCAAGUCUUCUCCCAUUGAUUGAGGCAGGUGGGUGUCCACUCCAAAGUGCUGAGAGGUCUCUGUCAUCAUGACAGUCUCUAUAAAUGAGUGAGAAGACUUGAAAGACACGGAUGGUGGCACACCAUCUUUUUGGAGCAAAAAAAAGCAUUUAUUUUAAUAACGGGAGCAUUUGACAUUUUAUGACUCCUGUUUCGAGGACAUCGCUAAGGUUGGUUGGAAAUACAUAUCCUGUAACUCCCAGUAAAGAAUACCAAAAAUCUUUAGUUAAAUCACAUUAUCUGGUGUUACAAUGUGUAUAUAAAAGAACUGGUGAUCAGCAGAUGGGAGGAGGUGGUCAUGAUAAAAUUGCAAUUCCAAAAGAAACCUACAGUAAGUUCAGGGAAUAAUUGUAAAGCUGUGGGAGGAGUGUUGUCAUGAUCAAACUGUCAUUCAGCUCCUCAUCUGCUUGAAAUCCAUCAUAAUGUCUAAUCCCUUGAGGGGGAUACAGUUCACGAGAUACAGUUCUGCUACAAUGACACAUGCAGACAACAGAAUGAUGUUUCUGUAUCGAGAAUCCACUCCAGGAAGAAGCCCAGGCAUUAAAUGUUAUUGUCUGCAAGACAACAAAAAAACAUAUACUCAAUUGUACAGUUUGAACAACAGUUGAACCGUGCCAGCAUAACAUCAACAUUAGGGUACACUAGUUGUACAUGUAUACAUGUGCACAGGUACAGAUAUUACAUUUCAACCAUAUCUAGCCAAAUGGAAAGAAAUAUGGCAUAACCCUCAACCUUUGCACAGCGACGAGACCGUACAAAUGAGCCUAGGUAGGUAGGCAGAAAUCUAUUUUUAGAGAUUUACAACAAUACAUUGUUGUAUUAUUGUUUCUCCUCACUGUUCGGGAGUAAACUUACAUUGCAUUUGGAAAGUAUUCCGACUCCUUGACUUUUUCCCACUUUAAGUUACAGCCUUAUUCUAAAUUAUUUUUAUUUAAAAAAAAAUCCCUAAUCAAUUCACACACAAUAACAAAUCAAAAACUGAUUUAUAGAAAUGUUUGCAAAUUCAUAAACAUAAACAGGAAUAUCACAUUUACAUAAGUAUUCAGACCCUUUACUCAGCUCUUGUUCUUUAUUAAACAUUUUUAUUAACUUAUCCACCACCUCUCCUGUUCAGAGGAAACCUUUUUUCUUUUUACAGCUUCUCGGCUACAUAUGCAUACACAUUUUAAAUGCAUGGUACUUUUACAUACAGCAAACGCAUAACAAUAAAACAUUAAACUUUAAUCCCACCUCUCAGCCCAUCCCACCUAUCACCAUAGACCUCAGCUCUUUAAUCCCACCCCUCAGCCACUCUCAGCCCUUCCCACCUAUCACCAUAGACCACCCUCAUUCGGUUUCCAUGUGACAUAUAUUUUUCAGUUGUGCUGUGAUGCUUUACAUAGAUUUUGAACAUUUUCUAAUCAUAAUAGUAUCCACAGAUUGUGAGCUAAAGAUGAAAACCUUUCCUAAGACUAUUAUAUUAUUUAUUGACUGACUAUGGUUUUCCAAAUCACCCAACACUGCUGUAAGGUUAAUUUGAAGUGAAUGUUGUAAUUUUUUAACCAUUCCUGAACCUGUGACCAGAAACAAGCUACAUAGGGGCAAUACCAGAAUAAAUGAUCUAGUGAUUAUGUCUCUUCAAAGCUAAAUCUACAGAGCUGAGAUUGUUGUACGCCCCAUAUAGAUAGCAUUCUGAUGGUGGCAUGAAUUUUGUAUAAUAAUUUAAAUAGAAUAAAACUCAGUGUUGAAUCAAGUGUCGUUUUUUGUACCAGUUCAUAAACCAUGUGCCAUGGAAUCGGUACAUCGAAAAUCUCUUUUAAUUUAUUUUGCAACCUGUAUGGUGCACCAGUCAACAUUUUUGUCCUCAGACAAAACUGGUAUAUUUUUCUACUUAUGCCAAUUCCUUUCAACCAAUUUGCAUCUUUAAUAUAUGGCAGACAAACAAAUUCCUUACCUUCUUCCCUUUUCCACUUACCUCCUCCAUUUUUGUGAUUUGUUUGGAUUGAGCAGACGUUCCCAUAUAUUUUCGAUAGCUGUAUAUGUGACAUAACUCCACCGUUUCUAAUCAUAA
rnacentral:lncRNA from 1 species